ACGACAUGAUGAGGACAUUUUCUGAUGAGAUCCUUUAAUCGUUCCCAUGAUUCAUGGAACUGCUCACCAUCUUGUUGGAGAAGCUAGUGACAACUCAUCUU
rnacentral:snoRNA from 1 species